GUAGGCAUAGUUUAACUAAAAACAUCAGAUUGUGAUUCUGAAAACAAGGGUUAAAAUCCCUUUGCCCACC
rnacentral:tRNA from 1 species